UACAGGAUCUUAUGUGAGGAAAUCGGACAUUUGAUUGGAGAGUCACCUAUUAAGGAAAGAUUUUGAAAUUUUGUGUAUUGUUAAUAUUAAUUGUAUAAAUGCAACAUACAAGUAUUAGUUUCAUUUAGAUAUUUAUUAUUGAAAUACAUAGUUGCUUUCUCACGAGUAUCCAUCAUCAAAAUUACAUUCGUCCUUAAUUUAGAAAUUUUUAACAUAAGAGGUACAUUCCCAAUUGAUACUACCAAAACAAGAUUACAAGUACAAGGGCAAAGAAGUGAUGCUCGUUAUGCAGAACUUAAGUAUAGAGGCAUGUUUCAUGCUUUAAUACGUAUUACUAAAGAAGAAGGUUUACAAGCUCUAUAUUCAGGAUGACUACAAAUGUCACUUCAACUGGAAUUCAGAAUUCUUCCUUGUUAAUAUGCUUGUUAUAUUUAAGCAUCAUUCAUUGGCAGAAGUUGGAAGCUACAAUAUCGUUGGUAAAUUAAAUAAAAGCAAAAUUAUUCACUCAUACAGAUUUAUCACUAAUAUAUCAAAAUUUUAAUAAACAUAUUUAGUAUAA